rnacentral:rRNA from 1 species
UACGUAGGGGGCAAGCGUUGUCCGGAAUCAUUGGGCGUAAAGAGCGCGUAGGCGGUCCGAUAAGUCGGCUGUGAAAGUCAGGGGCUCAACCCUUGGAAGCCGGCCGAUACUGUCGGACUAGAGUCCGGAAGAGGCGAGUGGAAUUCCCGGUGUAGCGGUGAAAUGCGCAGAUAUCGGGAAGAACACCCGUGGCUAAGGCGGCUCUCUAGUACGGUACUGACGCUGAGACGCGAAAGCGUGGGGAGCGAACAGG